rnacentral:rRNA from 1 species
AUUACUAAGCGGAGGAAAAGAAACUAACAAGGAUUACCUUAGUAGCUGCGAGUGAACCGGUAAAAGCCCAGUCUGGUAAUCGCUUCGGCGAAUUGUACAGUUUAGACAUAAGUCUUAAGUGGAUCGCAGGCGUAACUUGGCUGGAAUGCCAGACCGGAGAAGGUGAUAGUCCUGUACCGCCUGUGUGAAGCGGAAGACUGUGUUCCACGAGUCGGACAGUUUGGGAUUGCUGUCCUAAGUGGGAGGUAGACUUCUUCUAAGGCUAAAUACUGACGAGAGACCGAUAGCGAACAAGUACUAUGAAGGAAAGAUGAAAAGAACUUUGAAAAAAGGGUUAAAAUACUUGAAAUCGCUGUGGAGGAAGCUAUGAGCUCGGCUUUGCUGUGAGUGGAACUGCUGGUACGCCGGCAGGGGAGCUUGCAGGAAAACUCAGCUAGCGUUCUGAUUGUGAGCUCCGAAGCUGUUAGCUAGGUCGGCCGCAAUUUGAGGCGCUUUCUGAGUAGCUGGGCCCAUUGACCCGUCUUGAAACACGGACCAAGGAGUCUAACAUGUGUGCGAGUAGUCGGGUUGAAACCUUACUGCGCAACGAAAGUGAGCCUUGCGAUAUUUGCAGCAAGGGCCGCAUUAGCGAGCUCAGCACUUAUGUUGGGACCCGAAAGAUGGUGAACUAUGCUUGGGAAAGGCGAAGCCAGGGGAAACCUUGGUGGAGGCUUGUAGAGAUACUGACGUGCAAAUCGUUCUUCUAACCUGAGUAUAGGGGCGAAAGACUAAUCGAACCAUCUAGUAGCUGGUUCCCUUCGAAAUUUCCCUCAGGAUAGCUGGAACAAUCACAGUUUUAUCGGGUAAAGCGAAUGAUUAGAGGUUCGGGAGUUGUAACAACUUUCACCUAUUCUCAAACUUUAAAUUGGUAAGAACGGGGAGUUUCUUAAUUGAACUCUUCGAUGAAUGUGUGUUCCAAGUGGGCCAUUUUUGGUAAGCAGAACUGGCGACGAGGGUUCAACCUAAGGCAGAGUUGAGGCGACCAAUUGGCAGCUCAUCAGAUGAAAAGGUGUUAGUUCAUUUAGACAGUAGGACGGUGGCCAUGGAAGUCGGAACCCGCUAAGGAGUGUGUAACAACUCACCUACCGAAUGAACUAGCCCUGAAAAUGGAUGUCGCUAAGCAGCCAGCCGAUACUCUGCUGUUCUGCUUUACGCUAGCAGAACAGGUAGAAGGGCGUGAAGGCCGCGCAGAAGGCUUUGUGUAGACAAGGCUGGAGCGACCUUUAGUGCAGAUCUUGGUGGUAGUAGCAACUAUUCAAAUGAGAACUUUGAAGACUGAAGUGGAGAAGGGUUUCAUGAGAACAGCACUUGGUCAUGAGUGACUCGGUCCUAAGGUCAAGGGUAAUCCUGCGACGGCGUAGCCCAGACCGAAAGGGAAUGUGGUUAAAAUUCCACAAGCAGGCGGUGGAUAUUGCGUGGCAACACAACUGAACUCAAAGACGUCGAGGCGAGGUCCCAGGAAGAGUUCUCUUUUCUUCUUAACAAGUUGCUGCCUUGGAGAUCUUUGCGAUGAGAUAAGGCUACAGACUUGGAAGAGCAGCACACCCUUUGUGCUGUCUGGUGCACCUUCUUCGGCCCUUGAAAAUUUGAGGGAAACUUUAUUGCUCGCCUGGCCGUACCCAUAACCGC